CCCCGGUAAACGGCGGCCGUAACUAUAACGGUCCUAAGGUAGCGAAAUUCCUUGUCGGGUAAGUUCCGACCUGCACGAAUGGCGUAAUGAUGGCCAGGCUGUCUCCACCCGAGACUCAGUGAAAUUGAACUCGCUGUGAAGAUGCAGUGUACCCGCGGCAAGACGGAAAGACCCCGUGAACCUUUACUAUAGCUUGACACUGAACAUUGAGCCUUGAUGUGUAGGAUAGGUGGGAGGCUUUGAAGUGUGGACGCCAGUCUGCAUGGAGCCGACCUUGAAAUACCACCCUUUAAUGUUUGAUGUUCUAACGUGGACCCGUAAUCCGGGUUGCGGACAGUGUCUGGUGGGUAGUUUGACUGGGGCGGUCUCCUCCUAAAGAGUAACGGAGGAGCACGAAGGUUGGCUAAUCCUGGUCGGACAUCAGGAGGUUAGUGCAAUGGCAUAAGCCAGCUUGACUGCGAGCGUGACGGCGCGAGCAGGUGCGAAAGCAGGUCAUAGUGAUCCGGUGGUUCUGAAUGGAAGGGCCAUCGCUCAACGGAUAAAAGGUACUCCGGGGAUAACAGGCUGAUACCGCCCAAGAGUUCAUAUCGACGGCGGUGUUUGGCACCUCGAUGUCGGCUCAUCACAUCCUGGGGCUGAAGUAGGUCCCAAGGGUAUGGCUGUUCGCCAUUUAAAGUGGUACGCGAGCUGGGUUUAGAACGUCGUGAGACAGUUCGGUCCCUAUCUGCCGUGGGCGCUGGAGAACUGAGGGGGGCUGCUCCUAGUACGAGAGGACCGGAGUGGACGCAUCACUGGUGUUCGGGUUGUCAUGCCAAUGGCACUGCCCGGUAGCUAAAUGCGGAAGAGAUAAGUGCUGAAAGCAUCUAAGCACGAAACUUGCCCCGAGAUGAGUUCUCCCUGAGACUUAGAGUCUCCUGAAGGAACGUUGAAGACGACGACGUUGAUAGGCCGGGUGUGUAA
rnacentral:rRNA from 2 species